rnacentral:lncRNA from 1 species
AUUAUACAAAUAGGCAGUAUACACAGUGAGCGCCCACUAAGCGCUGGGCUGGGGGCCUCCAACCCGGAACAGAAGCCGGCCACAACCCUCGCUCCCUGUCGUCGCGGCCGUUAUAGGCCGAAAGCAAAAUCCAAUCCCGGGCCAUUGUGGGCGGAUUGCCAGGACCUGGAUCGCAACACUUGGGAAGACCCCCGCCCCGCCCAGCGAUCUCCGUGCCCUGAGUCCCAGUGACGGCCCCCUGGACAGCGGAGCCUGCUGCAGCGACGCGACGCGCUGGAUCUCAAAGCAAGGCUUGUUGGACAAAUAAAUGAAGAUGAGCCCAAGAGCCCAGGAGAGGGACCGGGAACAGCAGGGCCUCCGUGACUCACACAAGCUUCAUCCCUGAACCAAGGACGCAGCCUGCCAACAAUGGCCCCAAGCCACACCCCGCCACAGGGGGAACUGAUGCUGCGGUGAGAAGUGACAGCUUUCUGUUGACUCUUUUUUUUUUCAAGCAGAAUAUGAAUUGAGACAUACUUUCAUUUUCAUAAUCAGAACCUAACACUUAGUAACCAAUGUUGGUGGAAGCAAAUGAGAUCACAGUUUGUCUGUUCCAAACUCAUCUCUGGGAAAAGGAGGAGGAAAAAUUAUUGGCACUAUGUUCAGAAUCAUAGCUGAAGAUGCAGAAAUUGUUCAUCCCAAUUUUGCCUUUGUAAGUAAUGUGGGGGCAGUUCUUAUUAGUAAUUGCCAAUCUCUACUGAGACACAGUAUUUUGCUAGGCGCUUUAUAUUCAUUUCCUGGUAUGAUCAUGACAUUAACCCUGUGAAAUGCGUACCCUUACUAUCUCCAUGUGAAGAAAUGAGGGAACUGAGGACCAGAGAGGUGAACUGACUUGUCCAAAGACACACAGUAAGGGCUGUGACUCUCCGCUUUCUAAGAUUUUUGUUCUUAUCGCUCCACAGCACAUAGCAGGCGUAGUAUGAAGGCAGCAUGCUGCACAAUUUCGCUGUUUGUUUCUUGGAAUAAUAAUUUAUAGGGGACUGCUUCUAGAUUCCAAAGGAAAGAGAAAGGAAAUAUGCCCCAAACUCAGGCUUUCAGCCUGGCCCUGCCUGACUCACUGAGCUGCAUUGGACAAAUGAUUCAUUCACUGGCCUUGACCUCAGUGGGUUUGGCCACCCAUUGAGAGUGAAGUCACACCUCCAGCACUGCGAUGCAUUUAUUGAUCCACUCACCUAGCUUCAUGGCAGGCAAGAAACAGGCCUGUGUGAGCCUGCCCAGGAUCAGGGACAGGAGAGCACACAGGUGUUUCUGGAUAUCCUCAAGCUGUAGCUGGGCUGCUCGAUUCUUCCCUAGGAGAUCCUCCGGGGGCCUGAAUUAGUUUGCUAGGGCUUCCGUAACAAAGCGCCACAGACUGAGCGGCUUAAAUAAAAAUGUGUCAUCUCAUGGUUCUGGAGGCUGGAAGUCUGAGAUCAAGGUGCUGGGGAUUAGGACUUGAACAUAUGUUUUUUGGGGGCACACUUCAACCCUCCGGAGGGCCUGUGCCCCAAAGAGAGCCUCCUUCUGUGUGCAGUGAAGGUGUGAGUUCUAAACAUGAGAAAAAAACACCCCUUGUUCUUGGAUAGGGUGACUCGAUACCACAAGCAGGUCCAACUGGCCCAGGUAAAUAUAUUCGUUUAACAUGAUCGUCACCAAAAUAUUGAGGGUAGGUGUUUUUUUCUGGAGUUAAACAAGUUGAUUCUGGAGUUGAUAUGAAAUAAUAAACAAGCAAAAAUA